AUACCGGAUAUGACCACUUCACGCAUGUGAUGGUGGUGGAAAGUUUUUCGGCCAGGGAUGUGCUCGCGGCCUAUCAGCUUGAUGGUGAGGUAAUGGCUCACCAUGGCUUCGACGGGUAGCCGGCCUGAGAGGGUGACCGGUCACACUGGGACUGAGACACGGCCCAGACUCCUACGGGAGGCAGCAGUGGGGAAUAUUGGACAAUGGGCGGAAGCCUGAUCCAGCAACGCCGCGUGAGGGAUGACGGCCUUCGGGUUGUAAACCUCUUUCAGUACCGACGAAGCGCAAGUGACGGUAGGUACAGAAGAAGCACCGGCCAACUACGUGCCAGCAGCCGCGGUAAUACGUAGGGUGCGANNNNNNNCCGGAAUUAUUGGGCGUAAAGGGCUCGUAGGCGGUUUGUCGCGUCGGGAGUGAAAACCAGGUGCUUAACACCUGGCUUGCUUUCGAUACGGGCAGACUAGAGGUAUUCAGGGGAGAACGGAAUUCCUGGUGUAGCGGUGAAAUGC
rnacentral:rRNA from 1 species